UCCAGAGGGUGCGAUCGUUAAUCGGAAUUACUGGGCGUAAAGCGCACGUAGGCGGCUUGGUAUGUCGGGUGUGAAAUCCCCGGGCUCAACCUGGGAACUGCAUCCGAAACUGCCUUGCUCGAGUAUGGGAGAGGGAAGCGGAAUUUCCGGUGUAGCGGUGAAAUGCGUAGAUAUCGGAAGGAACAUCAGUGGCGAAGGCGGCUUCCUGGACCAAUACUGACGCUCAGGUGCGAAAGCGUGGGGAGAAAACAGG
rnacentral:rRNA from 1 species